GCCCCGGUAGCUCAGUUGGUAGAGCAGAGGACUGAAAAUCCUCGUGUCGGUGGUUCGAUUCCGCCCCGGGGCA
rnacentral:tRNA from 1 species